UACAAAAGUAUCAGCAAAACUAGAGCGAAACCACAGUGAGCGACUUCUGAUUGGCCAAGCUGGACCACGUGACCUGCCUCAUUACCAUACGGCCAGGUAGAGUGGGAGCAAACAGUCCCGGCUGUGCGUGCAACGCCGCUCCGUCUCCUCGGAUCAAAUUUGUUGUUUUUUCUUCCUUUUUUUUUUCAACUGGGACGUCCUCAAAACGGCUCACCUUUCCCCCACGGGUUUCUGGCCGUUCGACAGCGGUCCGUCACCGUAGCGAUGCAGACAUCCAUCACACCCACGGUGUCGGCACUGGUCUCCACUGUGGCGCUCCUUCUCUGCUUGGCUCUGCUGCUGAUGCUGUGUGUGCUGAAGAAGAAAAGAAGGAUGGAGGGAACAUACCGGCCCAGCGCAGAGGAGAGAAAACAGAUGGGCGGGACCAGAUCCGACAAGUCCGGCCUGUCUCUGCCUUUGCCCAAAGAAGAGCGCCUCAUAUGAUUACGCCGUGCAAAUGGACUCCAUUAAGAGCUUUUUUUUUUGGUCAACGUUUGGAUUAUUGCUGCCACUCACUCCUGGUUAUGUUUCAAGCUUGACUUUUGCACCACAAAUCUUAUGACACACUCAACUCUUGUUUGUUGGACUGAUUUUUAAUUCCGAACAAUAAUGAUACUGACAGAACAUCGGAUCUGUCACCAGUUACAUUGUAUUAAAAAAAAAAAAGAAGAAAAAAAAAGAAAAUAUUCCUUUUGACUGUUGGAGUUUGGCUUUCUGGUGAAUUUGCUCAUUUAAAGUCACUCUCCUCAGUCUAAAAGAUAACUUGAAGAUGAGGUUUGUUUUUACCGCACUCGCUUAUUUUGAAAACAUGUUUCACACUUUAUAUAACCAUGAAGGAUACUGAUAGACACUGACAAUCAUAAAAUGCACUUUUUUGUUAAAAAAAAAAAAAAAAAAUGUGUACGUAAAUAAAAAAAUGUGUACGUUA